rnacentral:rRNA from 1 species
UACGUAGGGUGCAAGCGUUGUCCGGAAUUAUUGGGCGUAAAGAGCUCGUAGGCGGUUUGUCGCGUCUGCUGUGAAAAUCCAGGGCUUAACCCUGGACCUGCAGUGGGUACGGGCAGACUAGAGUGCGGUAGGGGAGAUCGGAAUUCCUGGUGUAGCGGUGAAAUGCGCAGAUAUCAGGAGGAACACCGGUGGCGAAGGCGGAUCUCUGGGCCGUAACUGACGCUGAGGAGCGAAAGCGUGGGGAGCAAACAGG